rnacentral:rRNA from 1 species
AGUGAACGCUGGCGGUAGGCCUAACACAUGCAAGUCGAACGGCAGCACAGUAAGAGCUUGCUCUUACGGGUGGCGAGUGGCGGACGGGUGAGGAAUACAUCGGAAUCUACUUUUUCGUGGGGGAUAACGUAGGGACACUUACGCUAAUACCGCAUACGACCUACGGGUGAAAGCAGGAGAUCUUCGGACCUUGCGCGAUUGAAUGAGCCGAUGUCGGAUUAGCUAGUUGGCGGGGUAAAGGCCCACCAAGGCGACGAUCCGUAGCUGGUCUGAGAGGAUGAUCAGCCACACUGGAACUGAGACACGGUCCAGACUCCUACGGGAGGCAGCAGUGGGGAAUAUUGGACAAUGGGCGAAAGCCUGAUCCAGCCAUACCGCGUGGGUGAAGAAGGCCUUCGGGUUGUAAAGCCCUUUUGUUGGGAAAGAAAAGCAGCAGGUUAAUACCCCGCUGUUCUGACGGUACCCAAAGAAUAAGCAACGGCUAACUUCGUG